rnacentral:tRNA from 1 species
GAGUCGGUUGGACUUGGUAGUCCAGGCUGUCUGUAACACAGUUGCCUCGCGGCGCGGAAGGUUCGAUUCCUUCCCGGCUCAC